GUUCCUGUAGCCUCGUGGCUAAGGUACAUAACUGUGACUCCUGAGGUUGGUGGUUCAAAACUCAGUCUAGCAACA